UUAUCUACCCCGCAGAUAUCAUGAUCACGAAGGUGGUUUUCCCAGGGUGUGGCUCAUCCAUUGCACUGCGAGUGUGCUGACCCCUGCGAUUUCCCCAAAUGCGGGAAACUCAACUGCAUAAUUUGUGGUAGGGGGGGACUGUGUUUGCACUCUCCCCUU